GACCCCAAGGUCAGGGAGGGCC
rnacentral:rRNA from 1 species